CAGGUGGCUGAUGCUGCUUCAUGCACUCAACUCCCAUAGCCUGCAGUAGAAUCAGAGCAUGUCCAAAGGUACCUGCAGCUAUUUUGAAGACAACAAAAGGCAUUAUGAUUCUUAUCACCAAAAAGAAGACCCCUCCCCAAAGAACUCAUUCUACAAGACAAUGAAUACAACCUUGAGCAG